AUUGAACGCUGGCGGCAGGCUUAACACAUGCAAGUCGAGCGGGGUGAUGGUGCUUGCACUAGCACUUAGCGGCGGACGGGUGAGUAAUGCUUAGGAAUCUGCCUAUUAGUGGGGGACAACAUCUCGAAAGGGACGCUAAUACCGCAUACGUCCUACGGGAGAAAGCAGGGGAUCACUUGUGACCUUGCGCUAAUAGAUGAGCCUAAGUCGGAUUAGCUAGUUGGUGGGGUAAAGGCCUACCAAGGCGACGAUCUGUAGCGGGUCUGAGAGGAUGGUCCGCCACACUGGGACUGAGACACGGCCCAGGCUCCUACGGGAGGCAGCAGUGGGGAAUAUUGGACAAUGGGGGGAACCCUGAUCCAGCCAUGCCGCGUGUGUGAAGAAGGCCUUAUGGCUGUAAAGCACUUUAAGCGAGGAGGAGGCUCUUUUGGUUAAUACCCAAGAUGAGUGGACGUUACUCGCAGAAUAAGCACCGGCUAACUCUGUGCCAGCCGCCGCAGUAA
rnacentral:rRNA from 1 species